UACGAGGGGGGCGAGCGUUGUUCGGAAUUACUGGGCGUAAAGCGCGCGUAGGCGGCUUAACAAGUCAGGGGUGAAAUCCUGGAGCUCAACUCCAGAAUUGCCUUUGAAACUGUUAGCUUGAGUGUCGGAGGGGAUAGCGGAAUUGCUAAUGUAGAGGUGAAAUUCGUAGAUAUUAGCAGGAACACCGGUGGCGAAGGCGGCUAUCUGGACGACAACUGACGCUGAGGCGCGAAAGCGUGGGGAUCAAACAGG
rnacentral:rRNA from 1 species